UACGAAAAAAACGCCGAUCGGAUGGAAACGACGAAACUAUGCAACCAUCAUUUAGUGGGCAGCAACAUCAUGAUGUUCCAGAACCAGAACCGUCAACGAGUGGUCAACAAAUCGAACAUGAGCUGGAUAUGGUACCAUCUAUUCCAUCAUUGGAGUCAAUUCCGUCAACAGAUCAACUACAGGGUCCCCAUAAUAUUGAGAAGUUUAAUACCAUUGCUGAAACAUUGAGUUUAUCGCCAAUCUCAUCUAGAAACAUGAGAAGUAUGGAAUAUCGCAUAAACAAAUCAUUGCAGAUUACGAAAGCAGUUCGAAAAAAUAUCUUCGGAAUAGAUUCAACGGAUGUUGGCAAUGUGGAGGCGUAUGACGAGAUAAUUAUGCAGUUAAAGGAUAAGUUCAAUCACCCUACAACUGACAGAAGCGAACAGAUUAAAAUACUAUCUGUACUUCCUAAGUCUUGGUCGGUAAAUAAAAUCACAAGAGAGUUUAACGCACCAAUGUAUAUGGCGAGGCAGGUGAAGGAUCUUGUUUAUGAACAGGGUAUUCUU